rnacentral:rRNA from 1 species
UACGGGGGGGGCAAGCGUUGUUCGGAAUUACUGGGCGUAAAGGGCUCGUAGGUGGCCAACUAAGUCGGACGUGAAAUCCCUCGGCUUAACCGGGGAACUGCCUUUGAAACUGUCUGGCUUGAGGCCGGGAGAGGGUAGCGGAAUUCCCAGUGUAGCGGUGAAAUGCGUAGAUACUGGGAGGAACACCGGUGGCGAAGGCGGCUACCUGGACCGGUUCUGACGCUGAUGCGCGAAAGCGUGGGUAGCAAACAGG